GACUUCGGUCCGCCGGCGAGUGGCGAACGGGUGAGUAAUAUAUCGGAACGUACCUUUCAGUGGGGGAUAACGUAGCGAAAGUUACGCUAAUACCGCAUAUUCUGUGAGCAGGAAAGCAGGGGAUCUUCGGACCUUGCGCUGAUUGAGCGGCCGAUAUCAGAUUAGCUAGUUGGUGAGGUAAAGGCUCACCAAGGCGACGAUCUGUAGCGGGUCUGAGAGGAUGAUCCGCCACACUGGAACUGAGACACGGUCCAGACUCCUACGGGAGGCAGCAGUGGGGAAUUUUGGACAAUGGGGGCAACCCUGAUCCAGCCAUGCCGCGUGAGUGAAGAAGGCCUUCGGGUUGUAAAGCUCUUUCGGCCGGGAAGAAAUCGCACAGGUUAAUACCCUGUGUGGAUGA
rnacentral:rRNA from 1 species